CUGGGACUGAGACACGGCCCAGACUCCUACGGGAGGCAGCAGUGGGGAAUUUUGGACAAUGGGCGCAAGCCUGAUCCAGCAAUGCCGCGUGAGUGAAGAAGGCCUUCGGGUUGUAAAGCUCUUUCAGUUGAGAAGAAAAGAUUGUGACUAAUAAUUGCAAUUCAUGACGGUAUCAACAGAAGAAGCACCGGCUAACUACGUGCCAGCAGCCGCGGUAAUACGUAGGGUGCGAGCGUUAAUCGGAAUUACUGGGCGUAAAGGGUGCGCAGGCGGUUCUGUAAGUCAGAUGUGAAAUCCCCGGGCUUAACCUGGGAACUGCGUU
rnacentral:rRNA from 1 species